UACGUAGGGUGCGAGCGUUAAUCGGAAUUACUGGGCGUAAAGCGUGCGCAGGCGGUUCGCUGUGUCCUGUGUGAAAGCCCCGGGCUUAACCUGGGAAUGGCAUGGGAAACUGGCGAGCUUGAGUGCGGCAGAGGGGGGUGGAAUUCCGCGUGUAGCAGUGAAAUGCGUAGAGAUGCGGAGGAACACCGAUGGCGAAGGCGGCAUCCUGGACCAACACUGACACUGAGGAGCGAAAGCCAGGGGAGCAAACGGG
rnacentral:rRNA from 1 species